GUGAGGAAUAUUGCGCAAUGGAGGCAACUCUGACGCAGCCAUGCCGCGUGCAGGAAGAAGGCGCUACGCGUUGUAAACUGCUUUUAACCGGGAAGAAACCCCAGGACGUGUCCUGGGUUGACGGUACCGGAGGAAUAAGCACCGGCUAACUUCGUGCCAGCAGCCGCGGUAAUACAAAGGGUGCAAGCGUUAUCCGGAUUCAUUGGGUUUAAAGGGUGCGUAGGCGGAGCGUUAAGUCAGUGGUGAAAUCCUGCAGCUUAACUGUAGACUUGCCAUUGAUACUGGCGCUCUUGAGUGCGCUUGAAGUGGGCGGAAUGUGCCGUGUAGCGGUGAAAUGCUUAGAUAUGGCACAGAACACCAAUUGCGAAGGCAGCUCACUAAGGCGAUACUGACGCUGAGGCACGAAAGCGUGGGGAUCGAACAGGAUUAGAUACCCCUGUAGUCC
rnacentral:rRNA from 1 species